rnacentral:rRNA from 1 species
UACGUAGGGUGCGAGCGUUGCCCGGAUUUAUUGGGCGUAAAGGGCGCGUAGGCGGCUCGGCACGUCCGUUGUGAAAUCGCCCGGCUCAACUGGGCGGGGUCAGCGGAUACGGUCGAGCUUGAGCAAGCUAGGGGGCAAUGGAAUUCCCGGUGUAGCGGUGGAAUGCGCAGAUAUCAGGAGGAACACCGGUGGCGAAGGCGGGUCUCUGGGCAGUAACUGACGCUGAGGAGCGAAAGCGUGGGGAGCGAACAGG